UACGUAGGGUGCAAGCGUUGUCCGGAAUCAUUGGGCGUAAAGAGCGUGUAGGCGGCUCGAUUAGUCCGCUGUAAAAGUCCAGGGCUCAACCCUGGGAUGCCGGUGGAAACUGUCGGGCUAGAGUCCGGGAGAGGCGAGUGGAAUUCCUGGUGUAGCGGUGAAAUGCGCAGAUAUCAGGAGGAACACCAAUGGCGAAGGCAGCUCGCUGGAACGGUACUGACGCUGAGGUGCGAAAGCGUGGGGAGCAAACAGG
rnacentral:rRNA from 1 species